CAGGGAUUAUUCCUCCAAGAACUUGAAUAUGCCUAUUUGCUCGUCUCUAUUUCAGCUUCCCUCACAUUUUUACCGGCUGGUCUUGAGAGGCGGGACCUUGUAGCCGGGAAGGGCGUUCUUUUUGCGGUCAGACAGCGCAGUCAUUCCAAGGGGUGGGUCCUCCGGCGCAGAAAGGAAAACCCACCUUUUUCAUUGUUGGGGACGCGGUGGAAUGUGAUGGUUUGAUCUUACAGCACAGGGAAUGGGAACGUGGAGAAAAGACACAGAGAAAGCAAUCCGGUCAGAGUGAUAAAUAAUACAAUCUCCCCUCAUUUUUGCUCCCGGGUACGUCUAGCCAGCCGACGAGUAUGUGGAAGAACUUGUGUUCACCGUCACCGAGUCAUCUUGUUCGCUUCAACUACUCUCCGUAUCAAAUCGCGUGAACUUGUGGAUUACCUGCGUUUCGCGCUUCUCGCCAAGGCACGCGAUAUCAUACUGUGCAAAUAAAACCCGGAUUAGGCCUAUUGGUGGGCAAAGAAAGACUGAAAACAAAUCGGCUAUAUAACCCAAGAUGUCUGAUGAAUGGCCAGCAAACUGCCUAACGAGAAUAGUAUUGCUUAGGUAGGAAACAUAAACUGUCAUGUGUUGUGGUUCGUGUAUAGUGUAACACGCACAAAGCAACGAUCACAUUUGUCUGGCACAUUUUAGCACCUCAAAGGCAUAGGCCUUAGCCAGAGGUGCUAAUGAAUGAUGUUUUGGAUCAGUCCUCUGGCAGAUGUGUUCAGGUGCCAGUUUUAAGUCGUCAAUCCUGUGUGUGUGUGUGUGUGUGUGUGUGUGUGUGUGUGUGUGUGUGUGUGUGUGUGUGUGUGUAAAGUUGAUGUUUGAUGUGUUUGUGGAGGACUUCUCAUAGUCAUAAUUUGGGGCCAAAGCUUGUGCCAUGCAAAUUAAUUGUUAACGUAUGAACACCUCUUCUGAACAGACUAACCCCGUUGCUCUAACAACUGAGAUGAACGACAUGUGUUUGAUUCCUUGUUCAACACACCGGCCCACUUUGCUGCUGCUGGUUCUGCCUCUGCUGCCGUUUGUCAGCAACCAGAAAUGGCGGUGGCAGAGGUUGAUUACUAAGCUGCCAGGUGGGGCUCGUAAAAAAAAAAAAGCAGAGAGGCAGGGUGAUGGAGGGGGACCUGCCUUGACCUGUUUCAGACACGAAGGAGGAAGGAGAG
ensembl:lncRNA